rnacentral:misc_RNA from 1 species
AAAAAAAAAAAGAUGGCCAAAAAUCCAAUAUACAGAGUACAUCAUGCUUAAAAAAUUAGUCAAUUUAUAGAUCAACAGUAUACUGUUUAGACAGAGCAUGCUUAACCACAUUCACAUUACCACAAAAAUUACAACUGAGAUAAGGCUACAUGGCCACACACGAUUAAUGAGGGAUUACAACUGAGAUUUGGCCUUUUUCUGCUACGAUUAACACAUUUCUAUUUGCAUUUAACACAUCAAACGAGCCUACAAGACCUAGUUGACAUUAAUUUUAAGGAGAAAUACAGCAACCUGGGACAUAUGUUCAAAAUUCAGUGAGACAUACCUGAAAUAUGUCAG